UAAGUUGGUAGUGAAAGCGUUCGGCUCAACCGAAUAUCCAUUACCAAAACUGCAGAGCUAGAGGACAAGAGAGGCAUCUGGAAUUCCAAGUGUAGGAGUGAAAUCCGUAGAUAUUUGGAGGAACACCGAUGGCGUAGGCAGGGUGCUGGCUUGUUCCUGACACUAAGGCACGAAAGCGUGGGGAGCGAACGGGAUUAGAUACCCCGGUAGUCCACGCCGUAAACGAUGGAUACUA
rnacentral:rRNA from 1 species